GACGAACGCUGGCGGCGUGCUUAACACAUGCAAGUCGAGCGGUAAGGCCCUUUCGGGGGUACACGAGCGGCGAACGGGUGUAGUAACACGUGGGUGACCUGCCCUCAGCUCUGGGUAAGCCUGGGAAACCGGGUCUAAUACCGGAUAUGACUCCAUGACGCAUGUUGUGGGGUGGAAAGCCUUGUGCGGCUGAGGAUGGGCCCGCGGCCUAUCAGCUUGUUGGUGGGGUGAUGGCCACCAAGGCGACGACGGUAGCCGCCUGAGAGGGCGACCGGCCACACUGGGACUGAGACACGGCCCAGACUCCUACGGGAGGCAGCAGUGGGGAAUCUUGCGCAAUGGGCG
rnacentral:rRNA from 1 species